UACGUAGGGUGCAAGCGUUAAUCGGAAUUACUGGGCGUAAAGCGUGCGCAGGCGGUUGGUUAAGUCUGAUGUGAAAGCCCCGGGCUCAACUUGGGAAUGGCAUUGGAAACUGGCUGGCUAGAGUGUGGCAGAGGGGGGUGGAAUUCCGCGUGUAGCAGUGAAAUGCGUAGAGAUGCGGAGGAACACCGAUGGCGAAGGCAGCCCCCUGGGCUGACACUGACGCUCAGGCACGAAAGCGUGGGGAGCGAACCGG
rnacentral:rRNA from 1 species